AGUGAACGCUGGCGGUAGGCCUAACACAUGCAAGUCGAACGGCAGCACAGUAAGAGCUUGCUCUUACGGGUGGCGAGUGGCGGACGGGUGAGGACUACAUCGGAAUCUACUUUUUCGUGGGGGAUAACGUAGGGAAACUUACGCUAAUACCGCAUACGACCUACGGGUGAAAGAAGGGGAUCUUCGGACCUUGCGCGAUUGAAUGAGCCGAUGUCGGAUUAGCUAGUUGGCGGGGUCAAGGCCCACCAAGGCGACGAUCCGUAGCUGGUCUGAGAGGAUGAUCAGCCACACUGGAACUGAGACACGGUCCAGACUCCUACGGGAGGCAGCAGUGGGGAAUAUUGGACAAUGGGCGCAAGCCUGAUCCAGCCAUACCGCGUGGGUGAAGAAGGCCUUCGGGUUGUAAAGCCCUUUUGUUGGGAAAGAAAAGCAGCAGGUUAAUACCCCGCUGUUCUGACGGUACCCAAAGAAUAAGCACCGGCUAACUUCGUG
rnacentral:rRNA from 1 species